rnacentral:rRNA from 1 species
GACGAACGCUGGCGGUGUGCUUAACACAUGCAAGUCGAACGGUAAGGCCCUUUCGGGGGUCCACGAGUGGCGGACGGGUGAGUAACACGUGAGUAACCUGCCCUCAUCUCUGGGAUAACAGUCGGAAACGGUUGCUAAUACUGGAUAUGAGCUUGCAAGGCAUCUUGUGGGUUGGAAAGAUUUUUUUUGGUUGGGGAUGGACUCGCGGCCUAUCAGCUUGUUGGUGAGGUAGUGGCUCACCAAGGCUUCGACGGGUAGCCGGCCUGAGAGGGCGACCGGCCACAUUGGGACUGAGAUACGGCCCAAACUCCUACGGGAGGCAGCAGUGGGGAAUAUUGCACAAUGGACGGAAGUCUGAUGCAGCAACGCCGCGUGCGGGAUGACGGCCUUCGGGUUGUAAACCGCUUUCAAUUGUGACGAAGCUUUUUUGUGACGGUAGCAGUAGAAGAAGCACCGGCUAACUACGUG